rnacentral:rRNA from 1 species
UACGGGGGGGGCAAGCGUUGUUCGGGAUUACUGGGCGUAAAGGGCGCGUAGGCGGCUUUUCAAGUCGGGCGUGAAAUCUCCGGGCUUAACCCGGAAGGGUCGUUCGAUACUGUUGAGCUAGAGUGUGGAAGAGGCAACUAGAAUUCCUGGUGUAGCGGUGAAAUGCACAGAUAUCAGGAGGAACACCGGUGGCGAAGGCGGAUCUCUGGGCCUGUUCUGACGCUGAGGCGCGAAAGCUAGGGGAGCAAACGGG